AUUGGAUCAUUUAGAUGGUCAGUUUUUAAUAUCACUGACCAUUGACCACAGCUCACUAUAGUUCCAGUAGAAGUAACUAUUUACAUUUACUGAUAGCGCCGAUUUUAGAAUACAUAUCUCUAAUUGGAUAAUGAGAAGGAUAGAAAGAUAGAUGUUACCGCCAUACUAUUUCUGUUGGUUCAGAAUAGAUAUUAACAGAUAUUAACCAAGACGGGUGAUUGGGUGAUUUUGUUUUGGUUUAUAUCUUUGAGUCAGACAAAUUUGCGGCAAAAUGUAAUAAAAUCAAACUUAGAUAUAAAAAUAUCUCAGCACGCUCUACUACUCAAGAAGCUCUUUUUGAGUCAAUUUCCAGACUCUUAUAAUUCAAAAUAAUACUGGAAUGAGUAAUGCAAGUGCACAAAAUAUACAUGAGGAGACGGUUUUUGUUCUUAAGCGUAGAAAAUAUUUUCCGAAUAAAAUUUAAAUUUUAAAAUAGAAUAGAUAAUUAUAUAUUUAUCUGAUCUGUUUUCAUAUCUGAAAUUAGACCUCGAUCCGGGACCCGUAAACCCGGAUCAGGAUCAACUUUUCGGAUCUAGUAUCCGGAUCUACUUCCGGAUUUUUAUUAAAAUGGCAGAAAAACUGUAAGAAAAUUCUAUUUAUUGAAAGGUAUUGAGUCGUUGUCUGCACAAACUCUAAUUUUCAAUUCCCUAUAUCCUCACAACCCAAUUUCGUAGACCUAAGAUAUUUCAAACUAUGAAUUGUGUUAGAUCAAAUACAAUUACAAUUACAAUUAUCCUAAACACCAGAUUGUCUGACGCAGGUUUAGAGGGUGCAGUUGUGAUUCAGGAUAAUGCAAAAUGUACCCAAAUAUUUCGAAUAUAAAGUUGUAUUGAGAUUAAAAGCAAUCAUAUUAGCGUUUUUAAUCAAGAAACUCAGGAAAUCUUAAAAAACUUCAGGAAUUUUCGAAAUAUUUUCUGUUUAUUUUUAAAAAGAUAAAAUAUUAAUUGUCUUAAAAAAUAUAUAAAUACGAUGUUAUGUUGCAUAUUCCAAUACGUAGAAAAUUCUUCUCUAUUAACCAAAUUUAAAGAAAAUCAGAGUUCCAGAGGGACUGUAGAUGUAAUUUCAAGUAAUCCUCCAUUCACAGAGUGGCAUGUGGGAUUCACAACGUUACACGCCCUAUAAUGAGACGAGAAUACGAGAAUACCACUUUCGUUUGCGUUGAAGGGAUCUUGAAAUAAGGAAGAAAUGUACUUACACCUUGUUCUUAUCCUGCUUGGGACGCCAUCUUCUGAAUCGGAAAAGCAGCCCAGGUUGAGGAAAAGAGAAACCUUCUCACAUGAAAACUUUCCCUUUCGAAGAAAAUAUUUACCAAGAAAUAUCAAAUUUUAUUCCCAACAUCAAGAAUACGGAACUAGACAAGCGGAUAUAAUGUUAAACACCGGAAGUAAGGCUGCCUAUUGGGGGGAUAGGCGCCAAGAAAUAAAUCAAGGUAACCAAUGGAGGGACCUGUACAAAAAUAACAAACGGGAUAAUAUGAGGUUUACAACAAGAAAAGGUCGUCUUCCCAUCAACCCACAUGGACCAAUUAAUAGAAGAAAUACCAGUUGGAAAUGGCUGACCGAUAUUCUACCAAUAAGAUACACACCUAGAAAUGUUAGAAGAGAAAAAUCAAGGAUUUUUCCAAACAGGUGAAUAUUAAUAUUCAUUUUUCCA